UAGGAGUUCAUUAUGUAUUGUGUAUACAUGCUCACAUACAGGUCCCAGAUAAUAAUUAGGAAAACAAAUCAGGACCGAAACUCCAGAGAGUCAGAAAAGGAUAAGGGACCGAUGGCUGAAAGCUUGGGAAUCCUUGCAUCAUCCACAACUGGCUUACGACAAGAAAUCAAACAAGCGCAGUUUAAUAUGUCUUCCCAGUCAAUUCACAGAUAUUGCUGAGUGGAUGGGGUUGAGGGUGCAGCUUUUACAAGAUUGUGUAUACUAAGGGCAUUUAAUCACCGUCUGAAAUUGGCUGACCAUGGAACACCUAACCCGAAAAUAUGCAUAUCCCUUUCAGAGGGCAAAGAGGAGGAAGCAAGAACACAGAGGCACACAGGGAAGACCAGGUGAAGGCACAAGGAGAAGAUGAGCAUCUUCAAGCCAAGACAAGAGAUCUCAGAAGAAAACUGCCCUGCCAACUCCUUGAUCUCAGAUUUACAAUGCCCAGAGCUGGGAGAAAAUAAAUUUCUGUUGGGCACUUUUGAAGUGGCCUCCGAUGCGAAGGUGAGA
rnacentral:lncRNA from 1 species